rnacentral:piRNA from 1 species
UCUGGUCAGUGGGACCUGGUCAUUGUGGG